AUUGAACGCUGGCGGCAGGCCUAACACAUGCAAGUCGAGCGAGCGGCGGACGGGUGAUUAAUGUCUGGGAAACUGCCUGAUGGAUGUGGAUAACUACUGGAAACGGUAGCUACUACCGCAUACCAUCAGAUGUGCCCAGAUGGGAUUAGCUAGUAGGUGGGGUAAUUGCGCACCUAGGCGACGAUCCCUCGCUGGUCUGAGAGGAUGACCAGCCACACUGGAACUGAGACACGGUCCAGACUCCUACGGGAGGCAGCAGUGGGGAAUAUUGCACAAUGGGCGCAAGCCUGAUGCAGCCAUGCCGCGUGUAUGAAGAAGGCCUUCGGGUUGUAAAGUACUUUCAGCGAGGAGGCGUUACUCGCAGAAGAAGCACCGGCUAACUCCGUGCCAGCAGCCGCGGUAAUAC
rnacentral:rRNA from 1 species